rnacentral:rRNA from 1 species
UGUAUACGAGACGCUAAGGCGUCGAAGUAGUGUAUGUCAUACUUCCAAGAAAAGCUUGCACUGUCAUAAAUAAAGAAUGCCUGUACCAUAACCGACACAGGUGGGUAGGUAGAGUAUACUAAGGGGCGCGAGAUAACUCUCUCUAAGGAACUCGGCAAAAUAACUCCGUAACUUCGGGAGAAGGAGUGCCUUAUUUAUAAGGUUGCAAUAACAAGAUCCAAGCAACUGUUUAUCAAAAACACAGGUCUCCGCUAAGUCGCAAGACGAUGUAUGGGGGCUGACGCCUGCCCAGUGCCAGAAGGUUAAAGAAGUUGGUUAGCACUUGCGAAGCUGAUAACUGAAGCCCUGGUGAACGGCGGCCGUAACCAUAACGGUCCUAAGGUAGCGAAAUUCCUUGUCGGGUAAGUUCCGACCCGCACGAAAGGCGUAAUGAUUUGGAUACUGUCUCGGAGAGGGGCUCGGUGAAAUAGACUUGUCUGUGAAGAUGCGGACUACCUGCACCAGGACAGAAAGACCCUAUGAAGCUUUACUGUAACUUGAAAUUGAAAUUGGACUUUAUUCGCGCAGUAUAGGUGGGAGGCGUUGAUUGUAAUCUUGCGGGAUUAUUGGAGCCAUCAGUGAGAUACCACUCUUGUAAUGUUAGAUUUCUAACUUUGUAUCAUUAUCUGGUCAAAGAACAGUUUCAGGCGGCAGUUUGACUGGGGCGGUCGCCUCCUAAACGGUAACGGAGGCGUACAAAGGUUUCCUCUGAACGGUUAGAAAUCGUAUCUAGAGUGUAAAGGCAUAAGGAAGCUUGACUGUGAGACCUACAAGUCGAGCAGGGACGAAAGUCGGUCUUAGUGAUCUGACGGUACUGAGUGGAAAGGCCGUCACUCAACGGAUAAAAGUUACCCUAGGAUAACAGGCUGAUCUCCCCCAAGAGUUCACAUCGACGGGGAGGUUUGGCACCUCGAUGUCGGCUCAUCGCAUCCUGGGGCGGUAGUACGUCCCAAGGGUUGGGCUGUUCGCCCAUGAAAGCGGUACGCGAGCUGGGUUCAGAACGUCGUGAGACAGUUCGGUCCAUAUCCGGUGUAGGCGUUAGAAUAUUGAGAGGAGCCUUCUUUAGUACGAGAGGACCGAGAAGGACAUACCUCUGGUGUACCAGUUAUCGUGCCAACGGUAAACGCUGGGUAGCUAUGUAUGGAGUGGAUAACCGCUGAAAGCAUCUAAGUGGGAAGCCCACCUCAAGAUAAGUAUUCUC